AUACAAUAUUGCUCAGAGAAGACACUCACAUACAUUCACACUAAUGACUGUCUCUCUUUACUUUUACAGAUCCCUCUUCAUCAGGUGCUGGAUCAGGGUUAUGUGGUGCUGGUGUAAGUCUGGUGGUUUGGAUUGUAGCAGUUUUUUUGCUACAAGAAGUAUAAGCAACCAAGGCAAAGGUAUUCUAAUGCUGCGCCAACAACUGAGAGCAUGCUAUGAAACUGGCACCUAUACCAACAGCAGUAGUUUAUAGUCACUAUAACAGUAUACACAUUAACAGUGUUUGAAGUCAACCCAUGUGUGCUUUUGAGAUGUGAACCUAGUAAGUACGAAUUUCAUUUGUUUUGCCAUAAUUAGCACUAGAAUUGCCAGAGGUUGCUGUAUACCUAAAACCGCCAUGUGGGUAAAUUUUACCCACGUGCAAACAAGUGUUUUGAUAUGGCUAAAGAAGAUUUUAUUUCACUGUAUUAUGCCACUGUCUUGAUAAAGAAGUGUCUAGUGUCAUAAAAAAUGAUUGUCUAGUCAUCAACUUAUAUUUUAGCCCUGUUGUUUUAUGUUUUAUGCUGUUGCACUGUUGCAUUGCUUUUUUAUGCUUAAAUAUUUUUAAAUGAUUGACUUAAUGAAAACCUUGUAAGAAUAUAGACACCACAUUUUUUUUUAAAUGAAUCAGCUGUGAAUGUGUAAAAUUACUGUUGUAAAGUUGCAUGAAUAAUCCAAUGUUAAAUGUGACACUCUGUGCUUACACAAGUUACAGAUGAUCUUUCUGUCUGAACAUUUCAUUCAUUCAGCUUUUGCCUUUUUACAAUGAUCCUAACAUAAAAUGCAUCACAGCUUUCGUUGUGCAUAUGUUUAAUGAAAAUAAAAGGUUGUUUUGCCCAUAA